rnacentral:tRNA from 2 species
GGAGAGGUGGCAGAGUGGUCGAAUGCACCGGUCUUGAAAACCGGCAGGGGUUUUGCCCCUCGUGGGUUCGAAUCCCACCCUCUCCGCCA